rnacentral:rRNA from 1 species
CUGACCGCUGGCGGCGUGCCUAAUACAUGCAAGUCGAGCGAACAGACGAGGAGCUUGCUCCUCUGACGUUAGCGGCGGACGGGUGAGUAACACGUGGAUAACCUACCUAUAAGACUGGGAUAACUUCGGGAAACCGGAGCUAAUACCGGAUAAUAUAUUGAACCGCAUGGUUCAAUAGUGAAAGACGGUUUUGCUGUCACUUAUAGAUGGAUCCGCGCCGCAUUAGCUAGUUGGUAAGGUAACGGCUUACCAAGGCAACGAUGCGUAGCCGACCUGAGAGGGUGAUCGGCCACACUGGAACUGAGACACGGUCCAGACUCCUACGGGAGGCAGCAGUAGGGAAUCUUCCGCAAUGGGCGAAAGCCUGACGUAGCAACGCCGCGUGAGUGAUGAAGGUCUUCGGCUCGUAAAACUCUGUUAUUAGGGAAGAACAAAUGUGUAAGUAACUAUGCACGUCUUGACGGUACCUAAUCAGAAAGCCACGGCUAACUACGUG